AGACGUGAAAUAAAUGGUAACUCACUUCGUAGUUGUCCGCCCCCUGUGACUUGCUAGGACGAGGAGGGCACGGACCUGUACUACAAUUACUCCCCAAUUAAAAAGAAAAUUUGUUGACAAUUUGGGAUGUGACAUCUAUCUACUUUAAGGACUUAUGGCCAUUGGUCACGCUAGUAAAAGGUAUAAAAGUGAAAUGUUUGAGGUCUACAUGAUACAGCGAUCGCCAGACCUACAAGGAUGAAGGUGUCUAUCGUGAUCCUCCUCGGCCUCCUGGCGAUGGCCUCUGUCACAAGUGCUGAUGAUGAUGACGAUGUCAUCGAAGAGCUGUCGAUGAGGCUGCAGUUUCAGGUCAACGUGAGUAACUGUAACGCCAGGUGCCCAGGUCUGCUUGGUCCUUUGCUUUGGCAUCUGUGCGAUCGGUGCUGCUGCCACUUGUACUCAGUUCUUUGUGUUGGCUAACGAGACUUCUUAUCAAGCAACACGAUCUUGCAGAUGAAGAUCUGAAAUAAAAAUUCCAUAUUCAGCAAA